AGCGAACGCUGGCGGCAGGCCUAACACAUGCAAGUCGAACGGACCCUUCGGGGUUAGUGGCGGACGGGUGAGUAACACGUGGGAACGUGCCUUUAGGUUCGGAAUAGCUCCUGGAAACGGGUGGUAAUGCCGAAUGUGCCCUUCGGGGAAAGAUUUAUCGCCUUUAGAGCGGCCCGCGUCUGAUUAGCUAGUUGGUGAGGUAAUGGCUCACCAAGGCGACGAGCAGUAGCCGGUCUGAGAGGAUGACCAGCCACAUUGGGACUGAGACACGGCCCAAACUCCUACGGGAGGCAGCAGUGGGGGAUCUUGCGCAAUGGGCGAAAGCCUGACGCAGCCAUGCCGCGUGGAUGAUGAAGGUCUUAGGAUUGUAAAAUCCUUUCACCGGUGAAGAUAAUGACUGUAGCCGGAGAAGAAGCCCCGGCUAACUUCGUGCCAGCCGCCGCCGUAACAC
rnacentral:rRNA from 1 species